AUUGAACGCUGGCGGCAUGCCUUACACAUGCAAGUCGAACGGUAACAGGUCUUCGGAUGCUGACGAGUGGCGAACGGGUGCGUAAUACAUCGGAACGUGCCCAGACGUGGGGGAUAACGGGGCGAAAGCUUUGCUAAUACCGCAUACGAUCUAAGGAUGACAGCAGGGGACCGCAAGGCCUUGCGCGUUUGGAGCGGCCGAUGGCAGAUUAGGUAGUUGGUGGGAUAAAAGCUUACCAAGCCGACGAUCUGUAGCUGGUCUGAGAGGACGACCAGCCACACUGGGACUGAGACACGGCCCAGACUCCUACGGGAGGCAGCAGUGGGGAAUUUUGGACAAUGGGCGAAAGCCUGAUCCAGCAAUGCCGCGUGCAGGAUGAAGGCCUUCGGGUUGUAAACUGCUUUUGUACGGAACGAAAAGGCUCUGGCUAAUACCUGGGGCACAUGACGGUACCGUAAGAAUAAGCACCGGCUAACUACGUG
rnacentral:rRNA from 1 species